AGAGAGAGACAUGCGCGCAUAUCAAUAAGCGGAGGAAAAGAAACUAACAAGGAUUCCCUUAGUAACGGCGAGUGAAGCGGGAAGAGCUCAAAUUUGAAAUCUUCAAGGUUCUACCUUGACGAAUUGUAGUUUAUAGAAGUGUUUUCUGUUAGUGGAGUGGCAAAGGUUCUUUGGAAUAGGACAUCAUAGAGGGUGAGAAUCCCGUAUUUGGUCAUUCCUCCUAGCGUUGUGAUACACUUUCAACGAGUCGGAUUGUUUGGGAAUGCAGUCCAAAAUGGGUGGUAAAUUUCAUCUAAAGCUAAAUAUUGGCGAGAGACCGAUAGCGAACAAGUACCGUGAGGGAAAGAUGAAAAGAACUUUGAAAAGAGAGUUAAACAGUACGUGAAAUUGUCAAAAGGGAAGCGUUUGACACCAGUGUUGUUUAGUUGAAAAUCAAUUCAAUAGUUUUUGAUUCUAAGUAGUAUUGACUUCAUCAGCUUGCUGCCUUUCUUCUAUGAAACUUUCUUGAAUGCACUUUUCAGUUAACAAGUCAACAUCAAUUUCUUUUGUUGUAAAAGGGUAUGAGGAAGGUGGCUUGGCUUUCGGAGAAAGUGUUUAUAGCCUUGUGCCUCUGCAAUCGGAGAGAUUGAGGUCUGCAGCGUAGAUCCUUCGGGGUUAGAUACGUUUGUGCUAAGUUAUAGCUUUUCAUAGACAACUUGUUGACUAUGUUUAGUCUUGUAGCUUACUCGCUGACGCUAUUUUACCUACGCUUAGGAUGUUGAUAGUCACAGCGUGUAC
rnacentral:rRNA from 1 species